UACGUAGGGGGCUAGCGUUAUCCGGAAUUACUGGGCGUAAAGGGUGCGUAGGCGGUCUUUCAAGCCAGAAGUGAAAGGCUACGGCUCAACCGUAGUAAGCUUUUGGAACUGUAAGACUUCAGUGCAGGAGAGGAGAGUGGAAUUCCUAGUGUAGCGGUGAAAUGCGUAGAUAUUAGGAGGAACACCGGUGGCGAAGGCGGCUUACUGGACGAUUACUGACGUUGAGGCUUGAAAGCGUGGGGAGCAAACAGGAUUAGAUACCCUGGUAGUCCCUGAGCGGG
rnacentral:rRNA from 1 species